CUAGGGUUUAUAUGUUCAAUCCUCCCAUUUCUGAAUAUUCUCUUCGUUUUUAGUUUGUCCGAUCUCUGAAAUUCCGGAAGACAUGGCGAAAAAUAGAAACAAUAAGAAGAGAAAUGGCGUCGCUUCGAUCGGCGUCAACGAUGGAACUGUUCCCGAUCUUCAUCAACAAUGGAUGCUUAUGAGACUGGAGUUCAAAAGCCUGAUUCUGCUAGUGCAAACCAAAGACGAAGAAGGGACGACCGGUGAAGAGAUUGAAAAAUGUUCAGAACAUGAAGACGGUGGAAAAAGCUAUUGCUAAGAACGAGAAGUAUGCCGAGAAAAGCUCCAAGAUCAAAAGCGUAUAUGUCAUGUUUUCGUAACGUAUUUGCUGUGUAUACUAAAGUUCAAAAAUGAGAUGACAAAUUAGGUGCUGUGGAAAUAGGUGGCUGACAAGGGGCUGAAGCAUCUUUUACGUGUAACUGUCAAGGCCAACACCUGUUUGAAGCAGGAAGAGGAAUCUGUGUCUCUUAAAAAGCUUCGAUACCACCCAAGGUGCUGUGGAAAUAGGUGGCUGACAAGGGGCUGGAGCAUCUUUUGCAUGUAACUGUUGAGACUGUUGAGGCCAACACUUGUUUGAAGCAUUGAGAGGAAUUUUUAUCGCUUAGAAAGCUCCAAAACCACCCAAAGUUUUAAUCCACUACAGUACCUCAAACAUUACAUUUAUUGCUAUAUACACCUAGGAUUUAUAGGUGUAUAGUGUAUAGCAAUAAAAAAUAAUGUUUAAGGAUGCCGUUAGGUAUGUUUGUAGUGGAUUAAAAUUUUGGUUGGCUUUGGAUCAAUCCAACUGUCUAGAAAGGGUGGAAGAGUAAAUGAAAAAAUGAUAGGAAGAGGAAGAGAGUAGCUUGGCUGGGGAGUAUCUAUGUCGAUGUCAAUGCGACUAAAAUUCUGUGCCGCUAAAAUUCCGAGGGAGAACUGUAAGAUUUACCUCCCUAAUUCAAUAAUUAGUGGUGAGCAAAAUUUGAUUCGACUCAAAAAAAUAAAAAAAUUUGAAUUUUAAAUUGUUCGAAUUGAAUUAAUUGAGUUAAUUGAAUCAACUUGAUUUUCUUUUUUGAA